rnacentral:rRNA from 1 species
GAUGAACGCUGGCGGCGUGCUUAACACAUGCAAGUCGAACGAAGCAUUUAGGACAGAUUACUUCGGUUUGAAGUUCUUUAUGACUGAGUGGCGGACGGGUGAGUAACGCGUGGGUAACCUGCCUUGUACUGGGGGAUAGCAGCUGGAAACGGCUGGUAAUACCGCAUAAGCGCACAAUGUUGCAUGACAUGGUGUGAAAAACUCCGGUGGUAUAAGAUGGACCCGCGUCUGAUUAGCUAGUUUGUGAGAUAACAGCCCACCAAGGCGACGAUCAGUAGCCGACCUGAGAGGGUGACCGGCCACAUUGGGACUGAGACACGGCCCAGACUCCUACGGGAGGCAGCAGUGGGGAAUAUUGCACAAUGGAGGAAACUCUGAUGCAGCGACGCCGCGUGAGUGAAGAAGUAAUUCGUUAUGUAAAGCUCUAUCAGCAGGGAAGAUAGUGACGGUACCUGACUAAGAAGCUCCGGCUAAAUACGUG